CUCCAACUUGGUUGAACUGAGACUCAUAAAAUUAUUCUCAAGUAUUCUCUGACCAACAAGAGAAUAAUUAAAUUAAUGAUGCUUCUUCGUAGCUCUUCAAGUCCAUUAUUGAAGCAAUAUUAUUCAUGGCUACCACAAUUAUCCCCAGGACCAAAAUACUUGUCAAGAUCAUCUACAUCACUCUCAAGCUCAUCACUAGAUUCAGUACAAAAGAUGUCCAGAGCUUUGUCUGAGACUGAUCUUAAACUGUUCAAUAGACCAUCAUCUUCAAGCAGUACUUGUUGCAUGGCCAUGCACAACAUACUUCCUAUCACAGUUGAUGAAGAAACAUAUGAAGAGGAGAAAGAAGAUAAGGUCACCUCAGAGGAUGUAUAACAGGUAAGGCUGAAUAAUGGAUUGAUGUUGUUUCCGAAUUAUCGGUUGGAAACGGGUGAGGGGCGUGAAGUUGAGGAAGAGAAACACACGAGGGCGGUGGAGAUGGUGGUUGACGGCGGUGGAAGUGGUGGAGACGGUAGAGGAAAGAAAUGUGGUGGUGGAGGUGGUGAUGAUUCUAAUGGUGGAAAUGGUGAUGGUUUUGAGUGGGAUUCAAAUCAUGGGAGUGAUAGUACUGAUUUGUAUUACAAAAGAUGAUUCAAGCUAAUCCUGGGAAUUCACUGCUUCUUGGAAAUUAUGCAAGAUUCUUGAAAGAGGUCCGUGGAAACUUUGUGAAAGCAGAAGAAUAUUGCGGGAGAGCAGUUUUGGCAAAUCCAAGUGAUGGAAAUGUACUUUCAUUAUAUGCUGAUUUAAUUCGGAGAUCCCAUAAAGAUGCCUCUCUUGCUCAAAACUACUUUGAGAAAGCUGUUAAAGCUGCACCAGACGAUUGGUAAGAAUAAUUCUUAUAUAUGACA